rnacentral:sRNA from 1 species
GGAGAAAGAAAAAGAGCAUGUUCUUACUCAAAUUACCCAUUUCCUCUUCUAGCCAAACAAC